rnacentral:lncRNA from 1 species
UUAAUUAAUUAUUUAAUUAAUCCGAUCCAUUUGUCUAAAAGAGUUUAGACGACUUAAUUGCUAGAAACUUGAAACUUGUUUGCAUAUAAUAUUAGAUAUUAUAUAGGUAUACAUUUAUGUGAUGAAUGUAUUAUUAGUGGACGAUUAUGGACUCGACCAUAUGGAUGUGUUGAACGGUUAAUUUUUAAUUUUGUCGUUUUAUGGGCCUGCGAGCCCGUUAUUAUUGUUAUUAUAUUUUGGACC